AUUGAACGCUGGCGGCAGGCCUAACACAUGCAAGUCGGACGGUAGCACAGAGAGCUUGCUCUCGGGUGACGAGUGGCGGACGGGUGAGUAAUGUCUGGGGAUCUGCCCGAUAGAGGGGGAUAACCACUGGAAACGGUGGCUAAUACCGCAUAACGUCGCAAGACCAAAGAGGGGGACCUUCGGGCCUCUCACUAUCGGAUGUACCCAGAUGGGAUUAGCUAGUAGGCGGGGUAAUGGCCCACCUAGGCGACGAUCCCUAGCUGGUCUGAGAGGAUGACCAGCCACACUGGAACUGAGACACGGUCCAGACUCCUACGGGAGGCAGCAGUGGGGAAUAUUGCACAAUGGGCGCAAGCCUGAUGCAGCCAUGCCGCGUGUAUGAAGAAGGCCUUCGGGUUGUAAAGUACUUUCAGCGGGGAGGAAGGCGGUGAGGUUAAUAACCUUGCCGAUUGACGUUACCCGCAGAAGAAGCACCGGCUAACUCCGUGCCAGCCGCCGCGGUAA
rnacentral:rRNA from 1 species